UUUCUUUUUCUUAAAUCAACGGUCGUGGUUUCUUAUGCAAUAGAUCGAAGCGGCUUCGUUUCGCCGUUUCAGUCGCUCUAUAUAAACACUGUAAACCCUAACUCUAGGACACUAGUCCUCAGGAUUUUUGGUUUCUGAGUUCCAUUGUUCAAUUUGUUCUCAAACCUAGCUUUAUUUCUCAAGCCCCAGGUGAUGAUAAAACAGACAGGGACAUCUGUACUCCUUCGGAGGAUGAUGACUUGUUCUAAUGGGAAUCUCUCUGAUGCAGAGUAUUUGCACUCACUAACAUAUGUACUUUUUAAGAUAUAAGCAGUGUGUCUUGUUUUCCAAGUUCUGUUCUUAUUUCGUCUUUAAGUUGUAUGAAAUUUUUUAAUCGAACUAUAUGUUCUUGGUUUGGUUUGCGUUAAACUUUUUAACUGAUUGUCAGUGUUUAACUGAUUAUACUUCAACUUGAUUUGAGCGAUUGACAACAGAACAGAUGAAAAUCUAUUGUAUGCAGGGUUUUGUAUUACGGAAUGUGUUGUAUGCUGCAACCAUAAUCUAUUUGCUUGAUAUAAUAGCUUUAAACAUUUUAUGAUUUGCCAA